GACGAACGCUGGCGGCGUGCUUAACACAUGCAAGUCGAACGGAAAGGCCCUGCUUUUGUGGGGUGCUCGAGUGGCGAACGGGUGAGUAACACGUGAGUAACCUGCCCUUGACUUUGGGAUAACUUCAGGAAACUGGGGCUAAUACCGGAUAGGAGCUCCUGCUGCAUGGUGGGGGUUGGAAAGUUUCGGCGGUUGGGGAUGGACUCGCGGCUUAUCAGCUUGUUGGUGGGGUAGUGGCUUACCAAGGCUUUGACGGGUAGCCGGCCUGAGAGGGUGACCGGACAGAGGGGGACAGGGGUAGGGCCAAGAGAGGUGGGGGGGGGAGGAGAGGGGAAGAGGGCACAGGGGGGGGAAGCGUGAGGCAGCAGGGGGGCGUGGGGGGUGACGGGGGGGGGGUGGUGAGCCGGGUGAGGGGGGGAAGGGGGGGGAGCGAAGGAAGGGGGAAAAGGAGGACCGGUAAAAGACGGGCCAGCAGGAGCGGUAAUAAUGGGAAGAGAAAACGUAAGAAC
rnacentral:rRNA from 1 species